rnacentral:rRNA from 1 species
GACGAACGCUGGCGGCGUGCCUAAAACAUGCAAGUCGAACGAGAUAGCAAUAUCUAGUGGCGAUGCGUCUGAUUAGGUAGAUGGCGGGGUAACGGCCCACCAUGCCGACGAUCAGUAGGGGUUCUGAGAGGAAGGUCCCCCACAUUGGAACUGAGACACGGUCCAAACUCCUACGGGAGGCAGCAGUGGGGAAUCUUCCGCAAUGGGCGAAAGCCUGACGGAGCAACGCCGCGUGAGUGAUGACGGCCUUCGGGUUGUAAAGCUCUGUGAUCGGGGACGAACGGUCCGUAAGCUAAUACCUUAUGGAAGUGACGGUACCCGAAUAGCAAGCCACGGCUAACUACGUG